rnacentral:lncRNA from 1 species
AGAAAUUGGGUGAAGAAUAUAUACACAAGGCAACUUCUUGUGAAUCUGUAAUUAUUUAAAAAUAAAAAGUAAAAAAGAAACGGCUUACUGCCCUGUUGUGUGGCGGAGAGGGCACCUACUUAUCCUAGGAACCACAGAGCUGCAGGGCAUCAGCCCCACUCUAUUCAACACUGCUAACACUCCGGAACCACAGGCCCUUCUUGAUAGGCGGUCCCAAGGUCCCUUCCAAGUUGAUGAUGGCACCUUUGCCUUUCUGGGUAGAUGCCCAGACAUUUCAAAAUGUAAAUGUAAAAACUAAACCAUAAAAAUAUUAGAAAAAACUAUGAGCACAGAGGAAACCACUGCUUCUGAGAGCCAGCCCUGCAGCUAGAGGUCAUCUC